rnacentral:tRNA from 1 species
UCCCUGGUGGCUCAGAAAGUAAAGCAUCUGCCUGCAAUGCAGGAGACCUGGGUUCGUCCCUAGGUCGGGAA